rnacentral:rRNA from 1 species
GAUGAACGCUGGCGGCGUGCCUAAUACAUGCAAGUCGAGCGAACGGACGAGAAGCUUGCUUCUCUGAUGUUAGCGGCGGACGGGUGAGUAACACGUGGAUAACCUACCUAUAUGACUGGGAUAAUUUCGGGAAACCGGAGCUAAUACCGGAUAAUAUUUUGAACCGCAUGGUUCAAAAGUAAAAGACGGUUUUGCUGUCACUUAUAGCUGGAUCCGCGCUGCAUUAGCUAGUUGGUAAGGUAACGGCUUACCAAGGCAACGAUGCAUAGCCGAUCUGAGAGGGUGAUCAGCCACACUGGAACUGAGACACGGUCCAGACUCCUACGGGAGGCAGCAGUAGGGAAUCUUCCGCAAUGGGCGAAAGCCUGACGGAGCAACGCCGCGUGAGUGAUGAAGGUCUUCGGAUCGUAAAGCUCUGUUAUUAGGGAAGAACAUAUGUGUAAGUAACUGUGCACGUCUUGACGGUACCUAAUCAGAAAGCCACGGCUAACUACGUG